AACGCUGGCGGCGUGCCUAAUACAUGCAAGUCGAACGAACUUCCGUUAAUUGAUCAGGACGUGCUUGCACUGAAUGAGAUUUUAACACGAAGUGAGUGGCGGACGGGUGAGUAACACGUGGGUAACCUGCCCAGAAGCAGGGGAUAACACCUGGAAACAGAUGCUAAUACCGUAUAACAGAGAAAACCGCCUGGUUUUCUUUUAAAAGAUGGCUCUGCUAUCACUUCUGGAUGGACCCGCGGCGCAUUAGCUAGUUGGUGAGGUAACGGCUCACCAAGGCGAUGAUGCGUAGCCGACCUGAGAGGGUAAUCGGCCACAUUGGGACUGAGACACGGCCCAGACUCCUACGGGAGGCAGCAGUAGGGAAUCUUCCACAAUGGACGCAAGUCUGAUGGAGCAACGCCGCGUGAGUGAAGAAGGGUUUCGGCUCGUAAAGCUCUGUUGUUAAAGAAGAACCGUGGGUGAGAGUAACUGUUCACCCAGUGACGGUAUUUAACCAGAAAGCCACGGCUAACUA
rnacentral:rRNA from 1 species